rnacentral:rRNA from 1 species
UACAGAGGGGGCAAGCGGUUGUCCGGAAUUACUGGGCGUACAGCGCGCGCAGGCGGUUACUGACGUGCCGUGUGACAAGCGGGGGCUCGAACCCCCGAGGGCCCACGGUAAACGGGGCGACGUGGAGGGAGGGAGAGGGAUGGUGGAAUGACCCGGUGGAGCGGUGAAAUGCGUAGAGAUCGGGACGGAACACCAGCGGCGAAGGCGGCAUCCUGGCCCUUACCUGACGCUGAGGCGCGAGAGCGUGGGGAGCAAACCGG